CCUACGGGAGGCAGCAGUGAGGAAUAUUGGUCAAUGGCCGGGAGCCUGAACCAGCCAAGCCGCGUGAGGGACGAAGGUCCCAAGCAUUGUAAACCUCUUUUGUCGGGGAACAAAAUCCGGCUCGUGUGCCUGUCCGAGUGUACCUGAAGAACAAGCAUCGGCUAACUCCGUGCCAGCAGCCGCGGUAAUACGGAGGAUGCGAGCGUUAUCCGGAUUUAUUGGGUUUAAAGGGUGCGCAGGCGGGAUGUUAAGUCAGCGGUAAAAGCCCGGGGCUCAACCCCGGCGAGCCGUUGAAACUGGCUGUCUUGAGUGGGCGAGAAGUAUGCGGAAUGCGCGGUGUAGCGGUGAAAUGCAUAGAUAUCGCGCAGAACUCCGAUUGCGAAGGCAGCAUACCGGCGGCGAACUGACGCUGAGGCACGAAAGCGUGGGUAUCGAACAGGAUUAGAUACCCUUGUAGUC
rnacentral:rRNA from 1 species